GUGCACCAGUCGAGAAUCCUUCGCAAUGCGGGAAACCGCGACGAGGGGACUCCCAGUGCCUACGCUCAGCGUAGGCUGUUCCCGAGCCUAGAAAGCUCGGGGAGUAAGGGCUGGGUAAGACGGGUGCCAGCCGCCGCGGUAAUACCCGCAGCCCGAGUGGUGGCCACUAUUAUUGGGCCUAAAGCGUCCGUAGCCGGCCCGGUAAAUGCCUGGGUAAAUCGUGAGGCCUAACCUCACGAAUUCCGGGUAGACUGCCGGGCUAGGGACCGGAGGAGGGAGAGGGUACUCCAGGGGUAGGGGUGAAAUCCUGUAAUCCCUGGGGGACCACCGGUGGCGAAGGCGCUCUCCUAGGACGGGUCCGACGGUGAGGGACGAAAGCCAGGGGAGCGAACCGGAUUAGAUA
rnacentral:rRNA from 1 species